ACCAAUUUCUUAAGGUUGUUUUCCUCAACAAUCUGUAGCCACAGGUGUAACAAAAAGCAAGGAAUGCAAACAUACUGCAGUCAGUGUUGUUGCUGCUAGGAGAAUUAGAUAAAGACAGUCUAGAAAUUGUGAACACAGCCAUUCAUCAGAAACUGGAGAAUAUGUAACCUACACCUUGAACAAGAUGAGCAAAGCAAUAUACUAGAAUGAAUGUGUAAAAGUGUACAAAAUUAAAUAAAAUGAAAGAUUUUAUUUAAGGUGUUCUGUUGGAAGGUAAUUGUUAUUAAUUUUGUAUUAAAGUUUUAUGCAGCAAGGUUAACCAACAUGGCAGUACAAUUUAUUUUUAAAAAGUACAUAAUCAUCAAAAUCAAGAACAGCCAAUAAAAAAAUAAACAUAGUGCCUUUGAUUUUGCAUGUAAUCGUUGCAUACAGAUUUAUAGUCAAGGCUGUUAAAUGGAAUAUGAUGAAAGUUGCAUCCACCAGCAAACAAGAUAAUGACUGAUGUUCCAGCUCCAGAUCUUCCCAAGAGCAAAAGAAUGUUUUAAACACUGUGUUUGCAAAAAAUUGUCGCAUACAUAGUUCAUAGUUGCUUUUUUGUCUCCACUCCAAGAAGCUUGUACAAGAAUGCAGUGUGACCUCUAACUGCCAUCUUUGACUUUACAACCUUUUUUCUUUCCUUUUUUAUGAAUUCCUGAUGGUAGUUAUAUCAUCAAAGUCAUAUCGGUGGUCAAAAUACGUUUAGGCCAAAAACCUUUUAUAUGCACAUUUCAUGGUUUUCAAAUUAUUAAAAAUGAUACUUUACAUGAACCCCACAUGCAAACAUAGCCAGAAGGAGCCUCUAAAACACAUACUACAGAGAAUAAAUCUUUAUUGCAUAUUAACCUCCCCUCCUUAACCAUUAUCACGGAGAAGGCAUGGGGACGAGAGAAAAUACAACUUAUUUUUCCCUUAAUAAAUAAUAAUAUCUAAGUAAUUGUUCAGUAAACAAAUCAAUCAGAAUAUGAAAUGGGGCUAUUAUCCAUAGCUGAUUAAAUAGAAAAAAAGCACAGUUACUAGCACAGUCUAAAAUGGGUACAUAAAUUACUGUAUUUUUAAGUAAGUUUAUCUGAAUGAUGUCAUUUUCAUGUGGGAUUAUUAUCAAGCACUCUGAUUAGCUGGUGCUACAGUUAUCUCAUAAUCCUUUUAUUAGGCUCAUUAUGUAUUGCUGCUUGCACUGUUACUGGUUAGUCUUGUUAUAUUGGUUGUGAGCAUUAUCAUGUACCCAUCACCAUCAUUGUGAUCAUGGUUUUCUUUGUGACAUGUCUUUUUGCUCUCUAUUAAUCCUGUGCCAGUUUAGAGAAAUGAGGACUAUUUAAGCCUAAGUUUCAUUUUAUUUUUUAAACUGGAAUUUUUUUCUUUUAUUUCCUUGCAAUGUUUUCACUUCUUAUGUAUAUGUUACAAUACUCAUUGAAAUGGUAUUUGUAGUCCAUGCAAUCUGAGAGUAAACUUUUAAUAAAAUUCAUAUAUAGACUGGAAACAUUACUUAUAUCGUUAUUUUCAUCUGCAUCCUAAAAAUAAAUUACACACAACAUUUAUAACUCUUCAUUUAAUAAAAGCAACCCACCAUUCUAAAAUUAUAAAAUUUAUUCUGAUAUGAAAAAUAAUGUUUAGAACCUGCUAAUACUACUGCAAUAGCUGUCAUCAUUUAGAAAUUAGAAAGUCAUGAAUCAGAAUAGUUACUGUAAAUAUUGGCAGAUAAUUUAGACCACAUUUAUAUACUAAAGUCAUAACAUAAUGUACUGAAAAAGUACAUAAAUUUAAGUAAAUGUCAAAUAUACAGAUGUCUAUAUAUGUCUAAACUUUAUCCAGUUUGGAUAACUGUAGCAAAUGUAGACAAAUACAUAUUUCCUGUUAGAAACUACAAAGAAUCUUUUGCAUUUAAAACAUUAAAUGUUUAAGUUUUUGAAGCAUCUGACUUCAUGGCAGCUUGACAAUUAAGAUAUUUUGUCCAUUUUUUCAUUUUGCUUAGUUUUACCUGUCCAUUCAAGAAUAAAUCCUCUUAAGAAAAUUAAAGCACAUGUAUAAGUAUGCAUCCCUCUUUUUAUAUCUACACAUAUUCAUAUACAUAUAUCUUUUGAUAUUUUGGCAGAUUUCCAUUUCAGGCUAUUUAGGUGUCUGCUUGUAUUACCAUUUUUUUGAAUGAAUUUUUUUUUUCCAUUCCUGUAUAUUUCAUUGUUGUGAUCUUUAACAAGUUUAUUUUUACUUAUAAACCUUUGCAGUAUUUUCAGUGCUAAAUUUUAUUCAAAUAUUUAUUCACAUUCAAGCUCCCCCCAAUGUUAUACGUGCAAAGAAAACUCAUUUAUAAGCAAGUAUAUAUGCUUAUUGAUGUGCAUUGCAAAAAAAAAAAAAGUGAGCAUAAUUUCCUUUUUGAGGUAGCUAGAGUAUAAAUGUAUUAAAUAUAUUUUUAUUAAAAAAAAUUUGUGAAGGGUC
rnacentral:lncRNA from 1 species